AAUAUAUUGGCAGUACUCCGUAAUUUCAAUCAAGAUUCGCCAGUAUUCAUCAAAUUAUAAUCCGCCGAAUCCGCGCACGUUCACUCGCACUUGUUCACUCUUCGUUGAUAACUUCAGAUUGGUGAUCAUCCCGCAUCAGACUCGGUUUAUCACCAAACGCGGGUGAAAGCUACGACGAAGGAUCGGAUUGGCCGCGCCAUGUUGCUGCUCCAAUUCUGACGCGUCGGGCAAAUUGCUCGCCACGACCCGCGCACGGACACCACCCGAAGUUGCCUGCGAUUCAUGGCCAAUCCGUCACUCGUUCCAGCGAUUUAUUAUUCAUGGACAACGCCGAUAACACCGAUUAAACUUCCGUCGGAGAUUGUACGAUGCGUUCGAUGCGCACGCACGGUGCGGCCAGCGCGAAAGAAAAAAAAAGCACGGGACUACUCGUCGACGCUUUCUCCUCCCCACACGACUCUCCUGCACGAGACUGAUACGCGAGUGCACGACGUAAAAAAAAGGAGCAACCAUGUCCCCGCACGUUGUGCGCGCGAGUGCGCCUUCCAGUGUCGGUAGAGUUUAGUGGCGUAACGUAUCAUGCCCGGUCCGGGUGGGUCGUGUCUGUGCUGUGCGCGUCGCCACCAGCUUUCGCCAGCGCUGCCGCUGUUACGAGGGCGCGAGGAACACGCGGGGAGGCGAGGACUAUGAACGCGUCGUCGCGCGACGACGUUCACCGUGCCGCCGUUCCCUACGACUUGCACGCGCUGCCGCCGCAACCUCGUUACCUCUCGCGCGGCUCGUCGCCGAGGGACGCGAGGAUGACCUAGGCCAGCCUGCCUGAACGCGGACGAUCAGAAAGAAACUUGGCUCGCGAUGCGGAACCUACGUCGCGCGUGCUGGCUGCUCUGGGUGGGUCUACCGAUAAUCGCAGCCUACCCCGUGCCCCCGUCACUCGUCACAGACUCACCACACACUCGUUCUUGGCAAUGGGAACACUAUUGGAUGCGUUAUGCGAUUGCGCUGUCAAGUGUCACUGCCACAGCGUUAACUCUGGCCGGAUGUCUCUGUUGUCAGCGACACAGAAGACCGAAGGGAUUUCAGGACAAAGCAGAAAAAUGCAAUCAGGAAUUCAAGGAUGGGAGCAGUAUAGGACAAGAAGGCGCAUUCGAUCGAUCCGUCGAGGGAUUGGAACUAGAUGUCUCUAGGACACUAGCCGCCUCCGAGAGAGUGCAGUUUGAACCGUUACCUGUGGACACCAUCGUGUCCGGAAAUAAGAGCACUCCGAAACCGAAAGCGAUACCUUUGUCGGCACCGCGCAGCGACGAUCAAGACACCGACCACUCUAUUCUGCAGGAGCCGUGCAGUGAAUGGUUCAACUCGAACGAACUUUAUGUGCCGAGAGAGAAAUUGAAGUACCUCAGAGAGAUAGGUCACGGAUGGUUCGGGAAAGUAGUUGAAGGUCGAGCAGAUUUGGAACAGUCGAAGGAUAUACCGAAGUCGGGUGGCGUAGUCGUGAGAAUUCUUACCGAGGAAGCGACUACCAGGGAGAAGGCCUGGUUCCUCGGCGAGGCCACGCCGUAUCUGAAGCUGCGCCAUCAGAACGUUCUGGCCUUACUCGGUUUCUGCUUGGAAACCGAUCCGUACCUUCUGUUAUUCGAGUCGUGUCCGGCCGGGGACCUGAAAGGUUUCCUGCUGUCGAAUCGCGACGUCAAGUCGAGAGAGGCGCUCACCAAGGAGAACGUACCGAUACGAAUCGCGAUAGAAGUCGCGGCCGGUUUGAAGCACAUGCACAACCACGGCUUCGCGCACACGGAUCUCUCGGCGAGGAACUGUUUGGUCGCCCCGGAUCUCUCGGCCAAGUUAGGAGAUUACGGUAUUGGUGUCGAGAAAUAUCCCGAAGAUUAUUACAUUGUGGGCGAUCGGGCGUUACCUAUUAGAUGGUCCGCACCGGAAAGUCUCAACUGCACGGACACCACUAUCGAAACGCAGGAGAUCACGCCACAGGCCAACAUGUGGAGCUACGCGGUUCUGCUUUGGGAGAUUGCCAGCUGGGGAGAGAGGCCUUACAACGACAUGAACGACGAGCAAAUCAUACAGAUGAUCCUAUCCCUGAAGAAACAGUUUUUGCCGAACGGUACGCGGCUGUUGCAAAGUUAUCUCACCAAUUGUCCGCCGAACAUAUUCCAGGUGAUUCGCGUGUGUUUAAACGUCAACGCAAAAGAUAGGCCCUCUCUCGACAACGUAAAGCAGAUCAUGUUGAAUGAGCAUUCGGUACACAUGGAUUUCGAGCAGCGAUGGGAGAGUUUACGUGCGAAUAACGCUUGCAAGCAGCACGUGCGUAGUGCCAGCUUGCAAGAUUUACGCGGGAGCAUCGAUUCCGAUUACUGGACUCACAUCGUGGACGACGUGCAGGCGACGGAUACGUUGCAGUCCGCAUUUCGCCUCGGACCCGACGAACAGGUGAAGAAUAUCCCGAGGUUGAAGACUGCCACGGUAUUUCAGGAGUCCGGCUCGGAAACCGAGGAGGAAAGCUGGAAGGGUCGCAUCGAACAGGGUGUCUAUACAGAAAAAGUCAAACAAAAGUCGAAAUCCGUCACGGACCUUAUGGUGCUUGUACAUAUCGACCCCGAUUCCGACGCGGAGUGGUCACUGGGAGCUCCAGUGUCCGAGAAAAGUGUCAAGAAGAAGCUACCUGCGACUGGUAGUGAGAGCGACCUUAGACAUACCGUUCCCGCGGACGAGUUCGACGAGGCGUUAAAGAAGUUACGUGAUCCUCUGCCGAAUAACACUUCCAGUAAAGUCAGAUCGCUGGAGAAUUUGGAACGGCCAAAACUCCUGACUCUGACCAUGGAUCAGGGUCAUACGCCGAUUCUGCGACUGUCUUUCGACAAUGCGGGAAAAACCCCGGAGAACGACAGCGCUGCAGUGUCCAAUACGAACACGGAUAGCACACGCGGCAGCGAAAAGCACGUGCUAAGACUCGAAGUGUCGAAAGGAGAUCCGGAUCUGCCCCUUCUUCGCUAUGUACCUGACCAAAUGCCCUCCGUCGAAGAAGCGGUGAAGAAGGAGGAACACGAGGCACGCGAUACAUCUUCCACUGCUAAGGAGAGUACCGAGAAUUCUCCCGAUCAUUUUGUUUCAAGUAAUAUCGAUGGGACCGACGAGCACAAUACGGUGGACGUUUUACUUUGGAAUCACGCGUUGGACUCUGCUUUGGAGCAUAAAGUGCCGGGUUUUUCGGACGAAGCAGAAUUCAACGAGUACAUGGAUGUGUCGGUUCAACGGACCAACGCCAGCGCUCCAGAACUCACUGUGACCGCAGUGUCUACACCAGACUCGUCGCACUUUUGUAACGCCUAUUCGAUUUAUACCGCCAACGAUAACUUUUCUACGGUAGAAAACGUGGAGGUAGAGCGAAAGCCGUUAUCAAACGACGACGAAGAGGAAAGGAAGCAGUUAUCCACGCCAGACGAUGAGCAGAGUUCCGACUCGGGUUUCCGCGAUAAGGAAUCUUGCGAGGAGGAGGAAGCGGUUUGCCCAGCGUCCGGUAAUCUUCUUCCGCCUUCGGCCAACAAUUCUGCUGCAAUUUCGGAACCGUCGUGUCCGGAGGAAGAGCCGCUGCAAAUUCUAUUCGAACUAGAUACUAUUCUCGACGCGGAAUAUUACGCCACUCCUGCUGGCUCUGAAAGUAUUACGGGAGGUAUAACUUCCGCGUCUAGCGUCGAGAAAAACGUAUCGCCUAUAAAACAGAAUGUUUCUGAUUUAGAUCAAGUUUCGACGAACGUGGAUGAAAAUAAAAGGAUCGAUGUUGCCAAUUUCGAUUCAACACGAGCAAUCAAUACGAAAAGAGAGAGUCCGGAUCAUGUAAAAAUAAGUCAGGAAAAUUUGAUAGAAAUCAAAGAUAAGAUUCUUUCUGAAAGAACGGGAGAGCUGGCAGCCGAAGAUAAUGCUCAAUCGCGCGGCUCGGAAACGGAGGCUGUUUUAAAAUUGGAGGCAGAUACUUUCAAUACUCAACGAGACUCGGAGCAUUACUCGCAAGGCGACGAGAACGAGGACGAAGAUAGUUCGACGGUGAGUCUGCGUAGCGACAAUUCCUACGUAUCGUUCGGUAUGGAGGAAGAAUUCGUAACGGCGAUUCGCAACGAACUCCGAGAAAAGCUGCCUCAAGCUCAGAUGCAGAUUGUGGAAUCCCUGGAGGCGCACGACGAUGAGAAUCCUAGUGACGUGUACGGUAAACAGUGGGAUGACGAUGAUAACGACGAGGAUCCAUCCAAUCAAGUUAGCGGAGGUGUCGAUAUCGCAAUCAGAUACAACGUAUACGGAACGCCACUCAGUCCGAUCCUGGAGGAGCGGGAAAGCACCGUCAAUUCCGACUCUUUGAUGUCAAACUCCAGAGAAGCGUCUAUCGCCUCGAAGGACUCCGUGCCGUCGGAAGACGUGCUGUUAGUCGACACUCGUACAAACGAGAUGAUAUUAUUGGAAGGACUGGCGGAACGACUGCAAGACGAGGAUCGGGACACGACGAAUGGCGAUCUGUCCGAAGAGGAGAAUUUAGACUACACUUAUUCAAUAGCACGUCCGUUAGAGGACGGACCGCGUAUCGUGAAGUCGAGCGGUAGCGCGCCGUUGCCGAGUCCCGAGGACGAAACCAAGUGGCAGCAGUUACCCUCAUCGUUCCCGUUACCUUUACCCUUACCGCUGCAAGACGACUUGAUGUCGACGAGUUUUGGUACAGAACGCGAGUGUUACAGCCAGGAUGAAGACGAAGAGGAAGAGGAGGACGAGGACGAGGAGGACGAGGAGGGAGAGGAGGAGGACGAGGAUAACAGUUCGAGUUCUGGAGAAUUUGUAUGGAAAAGAUACAACGAACCGCAUAUCGAACAGAUACGAGUCAGGAGUACCACGAACAACGACGAAGCAAACACGGCGAGCGUCGAGCAGGAGGAGGAUUUGGGUGUCGAAGACGAGGAGGAAGAAGAGGAAUUCACGCCUUCAGCUUGGAACGCUGCGUUAGCGCCUCAUCGGUCGGCAUUGAGGUCGCCGGACAAAACGCUAAAAUCCGGGGAUGAGUUGGUAGGUGUGUCGAUUGCUUAAGUACAGAAACAGUGCAUGUAACUUUAACGUUCCUCUCGCUCUUUUCCUUGCAGAUUUAAUUUGAGGAUCAGAAAAAGAGCGUGUGGUUCAAGAAGCAGCGCUAUCACUGCGUGUACGAAUACCCGAAGGAAACGUUACCUGCGGACAGCCAGGCGGA
rnacentral:misc_RNA from 1 species